rnacentral:rRNA from 1 species
UGAGUAACCUGCCCUUCACUCUGGGAUAACUCCGGGAAACCGGGGCUAAUACUGGAUAUGACUCGAACAGGCAUCUGUUUCGGGUGGAAAGAUUUAUUGGUGGAGGAUGGACUCGCGGCCUAUCAGCUUGUUGGUGAGGUAAUGGCUCACCAAGGCGACGACGGGUAGCCGGCUGAGAGGGCGAUCGGCCACACUGGGACUGAGACACGGCCCAGACUGCUACGGGAGNA